CUCUGCGAUCUUCUUCUGAAGUACGAGAGUGAGGCAGCGCGCCUUUUCAAUACACCGGCAGGCUGGCCCACGCGCUCCCCGCACCCCGCAACCCCCCUUCCUCUGGCCACGCCCCUCUCGCGCUCGGGCGCCGGUGCGGUUGCAGCGCGUACGCCGGGCGCGUGCCGCUCCUGCCGCUGAAUAAACAACUCGCCGUGAAGUACGACUCGAGUUUUUCAGCCAUGGCAAAAACUUUUCCACAAAAGAAACGCCGUAAUAGUAACCUGUGAUUUAGAUCCUGCUGAAUUCCUGAGCCGAAACAAGUUUUAAAAGUUAUCUUAAAUCUUAAAACCUUUGCGCGCGCACUGCUUACAAUAACAAGUUGCAGUUGUACUUUUAUUAAUUUGCCGACUUUAAAGCGUGGGGGCUUCCGCGAUUCUUUUAUAAACUAGAUGAAAACUGGUCGUAAAUAUAAACUUUUUUUUUUUUUUUGCUGCAAACACUGCAUUGCGUUUUCAGUGACGCGUGCCCAUUCAAGUCACUUUUAUUUAUAGAGCUCGUGAAGGCAGGAAGUUGCUUUGUACACUAAAUAAAGUCGAAUGAAAUCGUUUAAACAAUAAAAACCACAAGUGAUGAAGAUAUCUAGGUCAUAUAGACGAGGAAUAUAUUUGCACAUUUUCUACAAAAUCCAUCUAGACCACUUGCACUAAUGAAAAUAAACCAUGUAGGUUCGCUUGACGAAUUUAAAAACAAGCUUUUCGACCAUAGUUUUAUAGUUUAUACAAAGGCUGCAGUUUGUCCUAUAGUAUUCAGAAAGUGGAACUUCGAGGGGAAAAUGCACGGGGCAGUCGGACAUGUAGGGGGGUGGGUGGGGGUGGUUUAGAGGAGGAGAGGUGAGGUGCAUCGAGUGCGCUUUUGUGUAUGAUGGGUUACACGCUAUUUUGUUACAGUAGACGUAGUCAGUCUUCUUUUCCAUAGAGCGGAAUAAUUGAACUUUUUUUUGUUGAAUUAUUAUUAUUCAAAAGGACUGAACGAGACCAAGUGACUCUCAGCAGCAGCAAGCGCUGAAUUAUUGCGCGCGCGCACAUGUGUGUGUGUAUGUGUGUGUGUAGGGAUGGGGUGAGGGGGCAAUAAAUUGUGUAAUUUUUCUUACUUGGCUGUGGCAUUCAAGAGCAGGCCAGCAUUCAAGCACCCAGCCCCCUCCAAGUUUUCCUCCCUCUCUCUCUCUCUCUCUCUCUCUCUCUCUCUCUCUCUCUCUCUCUCUCUCUCUCUCUCUCUUCUUUUCUCUCCUCCUUUUUAGCACAGCAAGAGAGUUGAGAAAAGAAGCGUGGGUUCUAUUCACUUUCUCCCCCCCAGCCUCCGCCUCUCUCUCCUGAGCCACAGUUCUCUGAAACCUAUCUCCCAUGCUCUGUCAGGACGCUCACAGGCUCCAAUUAGCGGUUUGUGAAGGCUUUUCUUUCGUGCGCGCGGCCGCCGGUGCCUCCCUCUUGUUUGGACGCUUCCACUCAUAGCCGGCUGUAAUAAUUAAUAUGGCAUCCGGGUGCACAGGGACAAACACUUCUGUAUGUUUUCCCCCUAUACUCCAAUCCUAGUGUGUUUUGGAAAACAUUUGGUUUGGAUUUAAAGAGUUUGAUAAUACCGAGUUAAUGUUUUUACGCAUGAAUUACACAUAACUCACUGUCCAUCGAGACACUCUCUGUGUUCCGGUUUUAUUUUUAUUUUUAUUUAUUUUUCAUGUCGAAGACCCUAAAGAGUCAAUGCUCGCAUGUAAGCAUAAGAUUUCACUAAAUCUUACACAUUUCGACUGUAUUGCUUUCUCAAAAUCUGAAUCGACUUCCUACUAUAUGAGCACGCUGCAUAAUAUCACUAUUUCUGACUCAAAAAUUCAUUUUCAUCCUUUUGUUUUCCAUAAUUAAAGUAUAAAGUAGAGAUUAAAAGAAAACCCUGAAUACAUACACACUACAAUGUCUGACCAGAAGUUUGUGGACACAUUGCCAACAAAAGUAUUUGAGCUGGUUGGACAUCUCAUUCCAAAUUUACUCUCCAUUUUCUGUUAAAAUAAGCUCCACUCUUCUUUCCACUAGAUGUUGGAGCAUUUGUGUUCAUUCAGAUCACCACAGAGCAUUCGUGAGAUCAGACACUGAUUUUGGGAUGUCAAGGAGGCUCCAGUUCAUCCUAAAGGGAUGUCAGGGCUCUAUAGAGGACCCUCGAGUUCAUCCUCUCCAACCAUCACACACUAUGGGGCAUCUUCAUGGAGCUCUGUGCUUUGUGCACAGGUGCAUUGUCAUGAUGGAGCAGUGUUUAAGUCUCUUAGGGAAGCUUAGUGAAGGACAGAGGCGUACAGAGACGUUCUGUACAACUUCCAUCUUUGCUUGGGGAGGAACCAGUUUCUCUUCAGACAAGCCAAACAUUAAUAUCGGUCCACUGAAAGGCGCUAUCUGUCUCUGAAUCUCAGGAUUGUGGAGCUACGGUUAAACAGCAACAAAACCCCUUAAUGAUCGCGAUUCAGAAAGGUCCAGCGGUGCUUCUUAAACGCGCACUCAUCCACAGCCACCGUGCAUUGGCGUGAACCUGGGCGUUAAACGAUGUUACACAGACUUAACCUGAUGCAUUUGGGAGAUAACGCAUGCACAGAGGGGUUGAACCUUUUGUAUCGCACGUGAAAACACUUGACGCUCACGCUGCUACACGCGAAACACGCGCGCACGCAUGCGCAGACGGAAAAGUGGCGUGUGAAAGAAAGAAAGAAAGAAAGCUUGCAAAUGAUGUCUUACUGGACACUAUCCUAUCCCAUUGCACGAUGGUGCUUCAUGGAAACCAUUCAAUCUCACACAUUUCCUCGUUUCCCUGCUCUAACCACACACAUUUCAGGUAUGUUAAUUAGUUAAGGAGUCGAAUCAGGUGUGUUACAACAGAAAAUAAACGCUAAACAUGUUCAAGGUUGGAAAUCAGUUAGAUUUCGCUAUAAUUUUCUCAGACAGGGUGUGUUUUUUUUUUUAUUCUAAAGAAAUUUCCAGUACACUAGAUAACGGAGAUGCUGAGAAAUUUCCCGAAACAGGACAGCUCAGUGCGCAUGCGCGGGUCGUGUCCGCUCUUGGCUGUAGAAAGUUCCCGAUCCAGGUGGCCAAAAAUGUGUCAGUUGAUGUUAAACUCGUAAUACGGCUUGGUCUGGUUGAUUCCUGGAUGUUUUAGGGGAAUUUUGGAGCUCAACAGUCACUGCUUUUAUGAAUAUGAUUUGAUCUGUGAAGAUUUUUUAGAUUAUAUUCAUUGUGGAAAAAGGUUCAUGAACUGUACUUUCCUCUAAUUCGAUAUAGUUGUAUAUGAUUCCAGCCAGAAAGAAUCAUAAUGAUCCUUCAGCAAUCCUUGUUUUAAGCUAUAUUAUGAAACAAAUUUAUAAUAAAUAUAUACAGAACUUAGAUGUUUGCUUGAAGGGGCUGUUUGUGAUAAAACAGGCUAACACUGCCAUCUAGUGGUUAAUUUUGGAAAUUGGAAGUGGUUUAACAUUAUGACCACAUGCCUAAUAUUGUGUUGCUGCCAAGGUCAGGACCUUUCAUGCACUGUGUAUUCUGACACCUUUCUAUCAGAACCAGCGUUAACUUCUUCAGCAAUAUGAGCAACAGUAGCUCGUCUGUUGGAUCGGAUCACACGGGCUGGUUCACCACUGUUCCUUCUUUGGACCACUUUUGAUAGAUACUGACCACUGCAGACCAAGCAAGAGCUGCAGUUUUGGAGAUGCUCUGAUCCAGUGGUCUAGACAUCACAAUUUGGCCCUUCGUCAAACUCGCUCAAAUCCAUACACUUGUUCAUUUUUCCUGCUUCUAACACAUCAACUUUGAGGACAAAAUGUUGACUUGCUGCCUAAUAUAUCCCACCCACUAACAGGUGCCAUGAUGAGGAGAUCAUCAGUCUUACUCACUUCUUACUCACUGCUCAGAAGGUUAUGGCUGAUCAGUGUAACUAAUUUCCAAAUUUUUUUCAUAAUUUUUCAUGAUUCAUUUUUCGCAUUUUUCAAUUCAGCAAAGUUUCACACAGACAGUCCAUGUGGCUCUCUUCCAGGUUCCCUGGUUUCAUUCUAUCUCACAAAAACAUGGCAGGAGAUGUAAUGGUGAAUCACAGCCCCUAGGAGUAACAAAAACUGUAAUAGACUGACAUCCUGUCCAGGGUCCAUUCUCCAUCCUUGUGCUCUCUGGCCCUGGGAGGAUAGACCACAGAUCUACUACAACUCUGACCAGGAUACAUGAUACUCAAGAAGAUGAAUAAGCUCUUCAGAGGAACUCCAGGGGAAGGCCUGUUGCAGCAGUCUCUCAGUGGUUAACUUUCAGUACCUGGAUAAAACAGGAGGGUUGCAUCAGGAUGGGCAUCUGAUGUAAAACUUGUGCCAAAUCAAAUAUGGAUAUCAGACGAUCCUCUGUGGCGACCCUGAACAGAGAUAAGCUGAAGGACAACAAUAAAAACAUUGAUCUAUCUAUGAAUACAUGAUGAGCUUUGUAACACGUCUGCACCAAGCAGUGCUAGAUUAUAUCGAGGAAAAUACUGAAGGAAGUCCGAUAUCCAAUUAAUGGACUCUUCUCUCUGUUGUGGUCAAGGAACCACUUCAGCUUCUUGAAGGGCAAACACAGAGCGAAUGAGGAGGAGCUUCUCUAUGCAGGACGUUCUGUCCCCCAACCCGGAUGACACAUGAGACUAGACUUUGGAUUUGUUUGCACAACACACACACACACACACACACACACCCACAUUACAUUCUUGUAAAUACAACCAUGUA